GGCGGGCCCGCAGCGCUGAGGGCGGGUCGGGCCACGCCUUUCCGGCAGCGGCAGCGGCUGGAGCCCGGGGAGCCGGCGGAUGGUUAAACAGGGGUUUCUGACCUGCCCUCCUUAUGGAGAGCUCUAAAUACAAACUUUGGAACAGAAUUAAACAAAAUGUUUCCGCAGCUCUACUUACCGAUGCUUCAGUAGCUAGCAGGAAGCGGGCUUUGGUUUCUUAGUUUGGUGAGAAAUUAAAGAUCUUGUCUUCUGGUGGGGAAAUGUUACUUGUUUGUGAUAAGAGAAGCAUGCUGUUUAGUUUAUGCACGGAAAAGAAAAUUAGAAUAUUGUUUGUUAUUUCAUUACUUGUUUGUGUUUCGGGUGGCUGAGAUCAGUCUAUCAAGUUGGAGUGUUUCUCUUCAAUGAUACUGCAUUGGAGCAGAGGGAACGGAAAAGUUAAAAGGGAUCUGGAUAGCUAGUGAGCCAAAUCAUCAGGGAAAAAGAAGUGCAUAGUUUUGAAAUGAACUUCCACUGCUAAUGGGGAUGGUUAAAAUACUGCAAGUUGUUCUUUUAUUAUCUUCCAGGUUUUUGGCCAUAUAACCUAAUACUCCUUGGACAGCUCCAAAACUGAAGGAGUUUUGUCUUUGUCCCAUACAUGAAUUAUGACAAAGACAAGUUUUGAACAAUUCUGUCUUCCUUCAAGUCAGGACAGAAUGAUAUGGAAUUCAGUAUCUCUCUCCAAAUUAAUUUUAUGACUGAAGAUUUUAUUUUUACAACUGUGUUUUAAAAAUAGUGGUUUUUUGAAAAUAAGAGAGUUAAUAUAUAGCAGUGUAAGAAGCUGAAUUUUAGUUCCUGGAGUCAAUCAUAGUGUAAGAUUACCAAAGAUCCCUAUUGAACAGCAAGGGCCAAUAUGCACUUUCAAACAAUCAAUGUUACACAUAGGGAUAUGUUUAGCUUCUGUCUGUCAUUUUAAAAGAAGAUUCUUGAUGUGUGCUCUGUGAGGUUGCUCUUCCCAAAGCAAACCUUCCUGAAAGAACAGACAAUUGCACUAGGUUGUUAGUGUAUGAAGUAGCUCAUUUUUGCUAGCUGUAGGGUAUUGUAAAAUAUGUUUUUAUUUAAACUCAGCUAAUUUUAUUUAAAAUACCUCCUGUUUAUUUACUUGAAAGCAGUAUCCCCAGACUCAUUAGAAAGACUAAUGAGGUAGAAAUCCAUUUAAAAUGAGAGGGUUUUCCAUAUAUAUUUGUGAUUUAAAUUGAUUGUUAAGGAAAAUGGAUUUUGCUACGGUCUGAGCAAAUUAUAAUCAGCAGAUUAUAGAGAGAUACUAAUAUAUAAGGAUAUUGAUUGUUGUUUGGUGCUGUGCCAUUAUUUACACCAAGAUUUGAUGGAGAACAUUUAUUCAUGUGCAAGUUUCAAUACAAAUGCCUGUGAAACAUUGCAUAGGAAAAAUUAGUACAACAUCACUGUUUAUUUGUGGAUUCUUGGUGGAAUUAUGUUGUAUUUUCCUUGGGAAGCCAAAUAAUUCUGUUGCACCUUGAAUUUCUUGAAUCUUAAUGGCCUAUUGUUAGAUUAAGGGCCUCUCUUUUUAUGCCAAAGAAUGAUGGUAAAUUUACUGGAUAAAUUUAGGUGUGGAUUUGGGUUUGUCUGUGGGUUUUAUAUAAAAUCUCAUCUCCUGACAUCUAAAGAAUACAUCCAUGCGUAAAAUAUACUGGUAUUUUUAUCAAGUACUAUAGAAAGACAUUUUUCUGCAUGCUUUGGAUUUGACAGUUGUCCCAGAAUAUUUUCUGUAUCCUCUCUGCUUGUUGUCACUGGAUCUGAAAGGGCAGGAGUUGACUGGACCUUUGAAGGGACAAGAUGUUUCCUUUGUUUAUGGUGUCUGAAACAUGAUCAGUGGUCUUUCAUGCAGCUAUCACAUCAACAGAGUUGGCCCUAUCUGUUUUGAAGAGAAACUAUACAAAGCUGCAGCGGCACUUGGAUAGCAAAGAUACAAAGUAGGUUGCUGGCAAGGCUUAUGCCUUGGAAGAACUACCUCCUUUGGGACAGAUGUAGCUGAAAGGCUCCAGUGUCAAGGGAAGAAUUAGAUUUCAACAUUUCAUUUUCUCCAUUUCCAAAUGUGGAACUCUUCACUUCUAAAACAAACCAAAAAAUUUCAAUCACUUAGAAUAAUUUAGUAAAAAUCAUGGGCGGGGGCCACUACUGGUGUGAAGGGUGAGACAGAAUCGAUGGAUGUCCUUGUGCCAGCUGUUAAAGAUUGCUGUUAAAAGAUUCAUCAUCAGAGAAUGGCCUGGAAAGUGGAAUUUGCAACAAUGAAUUGCAAAUUUCUAUCAAAUUUCUAAGGUAAAGAUAUUUCCACAAAAUAAUUUGUAAACUAAGAUGAAUGUUGAAAUAAAGUACAAUUUUAAUUUGGCCAUGUUGAAACAACAGGUCAAUGAUCAAAGAAAUCAAAAAAUAUAUUGUUUAUCUUUAGUUCAAGAUGUUUUUACUGCCAUAGGACAGCUCAGAAUGUUAGUGUGAUUUAUUUCUGAAGUGAUCGUUAUGCUCAUACAUCUUGAACUGAGUCAAGUCCUUUGCUUUCUGUUGAUGGAUGACCUAUUUUUCUUCCUCUUUUCUCCCAGUUUACUAAUUUUGUUUCUCUUUUUGAGCUACUUGCCUUAUCAAAAAUGGCACAAAUAGGUUCUCUGGCUCCUAUAUAUGGUGAUUACUUUUUGUAGCCUAUUUCACAGUCUAGUUCAAGACCCAGUUAAGCCUACUGCAGCCUCAGAAGUGUUAGCUGAAAUGCUGAUUAGCUAGAAGAGACAAGGUACUGCUCAACAGCGGUGUGGGUGCAGAGAGGAUUAGCGGGUGGUGUUAGAAUAAUUUUACUGUCUAAGACACGUUAUGAUGACUGUAUUUAGUACUGACUUAUUCGAAGUACUGUCCAGAGCUUAGGACUAUGUCUGCCUCCCAACCAUCAUCCUCCUUCCUCCAGAGGUAUUUAAAUAAGAAAAGCAAAGAGGGCAUAAAGAAAUUUCCCUAGUACAAGUCAGGCAGCAGAAAUAAACAGUCCUGUCAGUCAAAGACCACAAUUAUUGCCCAAUGCCUGUGCAGACUACCAGAAACAGCUCUUCCAGAGAAGACACAGAAUGAAGACUAUCAUACACUUUGCCUUCCAAACUGCCCCCCAGGUCUGUUUAGCAUUUGAAAGAACCAUUGCAGACUUCUGGGGGAAGUUGAGAGGAGGAUGGUACUGUGGUUUUUAUCUUUGUGCUUUGCACCAUACCUCUGAGGAAGGUCAUGGCUUCUUCAGCUCCAGUUCUGUAGCAUCAGAAUCGGUCCACCUCUAGCUCUUCCAGCAGAGCCAAUUUAGUGUCCCCACAAAUGUCAGAAUUGUUUGCAGUGAAGGUUGGUAUUCCUGUUGUGGAAGUACAGUUCUGUGAUUUGAGCAGUUGAUUUUAUCCGCUAGUUGUGUUUAAAGAAAGCUACAGAAAUUUAAUACAUGAUUAAAAAUAGAUUAGUGUUUUGUUUAGUCCUUCAUACAAUUACAAAACAGAUGCUGAAAUGUGUUAUAGCAAUCAAAAGUUAAUUAAACUUCUGAAAAAAAUAGCAGAUUCAAUAUGAAAGCUGUGUCAGAUACAAUUACUGUUUUUUAUAGUGAGAAGCAGAAAUUUGCAUCUAUUAGGGGGAGAAAAGUGGCCAGAUAAAAGACACACAAUCUACUUGCUUACUGGGAUUGCCUAAAGGAAGUAAGAACAAUAUUAGUCAGUUUCUUUCUCAUUGGGCAUGUGACAUUUAGCUACUCUAUUUUUUCAUGCUUGGGUGUCUCCUGAAGCAAAUCUUUGUAUGAUUGACAGGCAUUAAUGUUAAAAGGACUUCUGUAUCGUGCUCCAGUAGAAUCAACCGAGCAGUGGGGGUGGCCUACCUGCAGUACACACCCGGGGUCUCACUGUAACAUGGCAGACUGGUUAGAAGCAAUAUGUUUAUUCUUUAUUUACACAGAAUUGACCUAAUUCCAUACGUCCAUGUGCUCUUUCUUGUGCAGAGCCAGUCUUGAGAACCUCAUUCUUAAUUCUGGAAUUCAGAGGGAGGCUGAACAGAGUCAUGAAGCUGACUCCAUGAGGAGUCCCUGAAAGAUAAUUCUUGGAACUGCUGGAGACUUACAUUUUUAUGAUUAACAGACUAAAACAAUUACACUGUAAGUUGGGAUGUUUUAAUAUCAAUUACAGUUUAAUCUUUCCUUAAUUGGAUACUCUGUUGCCCAUAGGACAAAAAAUAAUCAUGUCUUCAAAGUAACAGUCCCAGUGAGAGCCACAUCCAGAUUAAAAACUCCUUCAUUUUUCAUGCCCACAAAUAAAUCCCAGCACAAAUAAGACAAAUUUUAGCUCCUGGUACAGAAAACACAGAUCUAAAUAAUGCACUCUGGAGCUUAGAGAAUAAUUCAGCUCAGUUUCAGGUGAACCUCUAGGCUAAAUCCACAGCAGGAAAUACUCUUUGCCAUUGCAACUCAUCUUUACUCCCUGACAUAAUUUUAGCUAGGGUUUGCUCACUAACAAAAAUAUUCUGUUCCUGGUUCAGCAGUUAAGAACCAGUUAAGAACCUCUGGCCUGGUGUAAAACAUUCACAGCUGAAGAUUAACCAGAGGAUUCUGUUCCAAGAAUCAGUGCUCUGGCUUCACAGUGAUGCCCUGCAGUUCUAUAUGACAGUGCUUCAUACAGUAUACAUUGACAACAAGAAGUGUUCUUGGAUCUCAGUUAUUUUCAGCUGAGAUUGGUCCUUGCACACAAACCUCUGGAGAAGAUUGCUAUAAUUGUGUAAGGUUGUCGUAAUUGUCUAAGUGGUCCAUAUACACCCAAAGAUUACUGGUGCCUUCUGGAAUACCUUGCACUGCUACUACAGGGAUUUAUGAGAUAAAUAUUGAAUGGCUAUGGAGCAAAACUGAACUAGUUUAGAACAUUAACCAGAUUUUAAAAAUAAUUACACAAAAACCAGUAAAAAUUGAUGUAUCAAUCAGCAUCAUUGAUCAAAUAAGAUUGGUUGGCUACAUAGCACUUAUUUAGGCUCAGGGUUCUGAUGUUAACAAAAAUGCUUCCUGUAAAACAAGCUUGUUACUGAGAAAAAUGAAUGAAGAGCAGAAUUAAAAUAAUUUCAGAAACUGAAACUAUUUUAAACUGAAACUGUGAAUGUCAUUAUGACUCAGAUCCGUAGUGUCAAAUGGUUUACUAAAGCUUUUAGGAAACUCAUCAUCUUUUUUAUUCUGUAUUUGUACAGUGUCUAAAGCAACAGGAGUCCUUCUGCCCUAAGACUCUUACAAUUGCAAUUUAUGUCCAUUACUUAAAAAAUAUAUAUAUAUAUAUAGGAAAGAAGAAAGAAAAUGCCAGUCUUCCUUCAAUGUUUGUAAAAUAUAUGGCAAAGAUUAGGAAUAGUUUCAAAACCUUUGUUUCUAUCUUCAGGUAUGGAAAUACUGUUAAUUUGUGUUAAUUCCAUUCAUGCAAGGAAUAUCUAUAUAUGUAAUGUACCUAAGAAAAAUGAUGUGGCUUUGUUACAGAAGGGCAUAUUCAACAAAAUAAAUCCCUUAAUUUUCUGCACCACUUCCUAAAGGUUGGAAAAAUUGCUGUAAUACAAGCUGCAUCUUCACUGUGAUGUGACUGUUACUAUAGGAAGCAAUAUUAACCUGAAGAACUUGAUGACUGACUUCAGAAGAGUCUAGUGACAAUUUAAAUACGGUUUUCAUCUCUUCUUGACUGUGAAGGAUUGCACUGUUUAAAAUUCCACAGGAAAGCAAUAUAUAAACUAAAUUGGUCUCAAUUCUUUGAGACCUUCUUCCUUAUUUAGUGAAACUGAAUGAAAGCAAACAACUUCUUUUUCAGAUUAAGAUUUGGCAAAGCUUUCACACUGAAUGAAGCUACUUAUGUGGUGUUAUAUUUAUUGACAAUUCUAAUACAUACUAUAAAGAAAAAUUAUUAAAUUG